rnacentral:rRNA from 1 species
UACGAAGGGGGCUAGCGUUGUUCGGAAUUACUGGGCGUAAAGCGCACGUAGGCGGAUCCUUAAGUCAGGGGUGAAAUCCCGAGGCUCAACCUCGGAACUGCCUUUGAUACUGGGGAUAUCGAGUCCGGGAGAGGUGAGUGGAACUGCGAGUGUAGAGGUGAAAUUCGUAGAUAUUCGCAAGAACACCAGUGGCGAAGGCGGCUCACUGGCCCGGUACCGACGCUGAGGUGCGAAAGCGUGGGGAGCAAACAGG